CCCAUCCUCUCCGACUGUCGCCCCCAAAAUAUGGCGCUAGAAGCGAAGUCUACGAACCCUGAGAGAGCGGAGUGAGGGGGCACCGCUUGUUUCCCCUGGAGCACGAUGUCUUACAUUAACCCCUAUUUCUCAUACUUGGGUUCCCUCUGAAAUUAUUGUCUCCAAAAAAGAAAGAAAAAGACUUUUCAAGUCCGGAAACAAUGGCCUCGUUUUUACUUCGUCGAAGAGUUUUGUCUCUGGGCGUUUCUCGCACUCUCCGCGGAAAUAUGGAGCCCAUUUGGCUGCCCAUGGAAUUGAGGAUUGCAGCUUUAGCUACCAUUUCUGAUACAACGAGAAAGUACAGCGGUUGCACUGGUACCACAAAGUUUGACUUUACAGAUCUCACUCGUCCUCAUACAUGGUACCCAAAUGCUCGAAGGAAACAUCGCAAGGUUAUCCUGCAUAUGGGUCCCACAAAUAGUGGUAAAACAUACCAUGCUUUGAAGCAACUUGAGUCAAGUUCGUCUGGCAUAUACUGUGGUCCAUUGAGAUUGUUGGCGUGGGAGGUGGCAAAACGGUUGAACAAGGCAAAAGUUCCUUGUGAUCUCAUUACAGGACAAGAGAGAGAGGAAGUUGAUGGUGCAAAGCACAAGGCCGUGACAGUUGAGAUGGCCAGUGUAACCUCGGACUACCAUUGUGCUGUUAUUGAUGAAAUUCAGAUGUUGGGGUGUAGGACAAGGGGUUUUUCAUUUACUCGUGCUCUAUUAGGAGUCUCUGCUGAUGAGCUUCACCUUUGUGGAGAUGCAGCCGCUAUUCCUCUUAUCCUGGAAAUACUGAAAGUGACUGGUGAUGAGGUUGAGGUUGAAUUUUAUGAGAGACUUUCACCUCUAGUUCCGUCUAAGAUUCCUCUUGGAUCCUUCUCUCAAAUCCAAACAGGCGAUUGUAUUGUAACCUUUUCACGUCAAGAGAUAUACAGACUAAAGAGGGAAAUUGAAAAUGGGGGAAAGCAUCUUUGUUCUGUAGUUUAUGGCUCACUGCCACCAGAGACUCGAACUAGACAGGCAACAAUGUUCAAUGAUGCAAGCAGUGACUUUGAUGUUCUUGUGGCUAGUGAUGCCAUUGGGAUGGGUCUCAAUCUGAACAUUUCCAGGAUCAUAUUUUCAACUAUGAAGAAGUUCGAUGGUUUUGAAAUGCGGGAUCUUACUGUACCUGAAAUCAAGCAAAUUGCAGGGAGAGCUGGCCGGUAUGGAUCAAAAUUUCCUGUUGGUGAAGUGACUUGUAUAGAUGCAGAGGAUCUACCCUUACUUCAUUCUUCACUCGAAUCCCCUUCGCCCACUCUAGAGCGUGCUGGAUUAUUCCCUACCUUCGAUCUCAUGUUUAUGUAUUCACGUGUACACCAAACAAAUGGUCUCCAUGGGAUAUUGGAGCAUUUUCUGGACAACGCAAAAUUAUCUGAAAAUUAUUUUAUUGCUGAUUGUGAAGGGACAUUGAAAGUUGCUGCUGUUAUUGAUGAGUUGCCCCUGGGGUUGCAUGAUAAGUAUCUGUUUUGCAUCAGUCCAGUUGACAUGGAUGAUGAUAUUUCAUCUCAAGGCCUCACACAGUUUGCACAAAAUUAUGCAAACAAAGGCAUAGUUCGGCUGCGAGAAAUAUUUACACCAGGAACACUGAAAGUGCCAAAAACACAAGCUGCUCUCAAGGAGCUUGAAUCCAUACACAAGGCAUUGCACGACAGAAAAAAGGUGGGGCACAUCUCGUCUGUCUGGAAAUAAUCAGAUAAUGUGUUGGAUCUCUAUGUUUGGUUGAGCUUCCGAUUGGAGGAUUCCUUCCCAGAUCGUGAUGUGGCAUCAUCACAGAAAGCCAUUUGCAGUCUGUUGAUCGAGGAGUUCCUGGAAAGACUAGGGUGGCAGAAGCCGAGGGCAAGGAGGUUACCGUCACGUAGAAGCUUAGGGUCUCUGCUAUCCAAAGACAUCAGGCCAUACUUGUGAGACAGUUCUGAUUUUCGCCAUGCAACCAUUCCUUCUCUUAGAUCUUCGACAGCUUUUAGGAUAAAGAAGUUCAACAGCUGAAAACUCCAGCUUUUCAAGAAAGUUCCUUUACUUCGUCCAUUGUUCUUUAAUUCAAUCAAUUGCUCUGGCAAUCAUUAUACUAUUUGUCAAACAGUAAAUGUAAAAAUCUGGUGAGAGUAAUGUGAUAUAAAUUGAUGGAAUUGUUAUUUAAUAAUGCUACUUUGGCCUCUCAU